GACUGGACUUAGCCCUGCAAUGUUUGAGAUAAUAACUGGACAAAUGAAUGGCAUACUUGAGCUGGAAGAUUGCCCUGACACAGAUGUCAUUGACAUUAUACAUCUACUCCAAAGACCAAAUGAACUUAAUGAUGAUGAGUGUGAGAGAAUAAAUGACCUGGCUGUCAGUUGGGAUCUGCCUACACUCACUGCUGAAAACAGACUGUGGCUAGUCCAAAGCAUUCUUCAACAUGCUGUCAUUGGCCGGCGAGAGAAGCAGAUGCAGCAGGUUGAAGAAAGGACUGAAGGAUACUGGGGUGUUGCGCAUGGUCAAGGAGCGACCUCCUCUCAUUGAUGUCCUAUUUCCACGAUCAUCAUCCCAGACAUGUGAUGCACAUGUAAUGUACCAUUAUGAGUACUGACCUUUUCUGUUUACUGUAGAAUAAAUAAUCAUUCUAUCCAAUGAUCAUAUAUAACAGUUUAA